AUAAGAGGUCCCGCCUGCCCUGUGACAUUGUUUAACGGCCGCGGUAUUAUGACCGUGCGAAGGUAGCGUAAUCACUUGUCUUUUAAUUGAAGACCUGUAUGAAAGGCAUCACGAGAGUUUACCUGUCUCUAUUUUCUAAUCAAUGAAAUUGAUUUCCCCGUGCAGAAGCGGGGAUAUAGUCAUAAGACGAGAAGACCCUAUGGAGCUUUAAACACUUAAGUUACUAUCUUACUUAUCAAUUAAUCUAAAGACCUAACCUCCCCUAAUAGUAGCCUAACUUAAUGUUUUCGGUUGGGGCGACCAAGGAGUAAAAGAAAACCUCCUUAUCGAUUGAGUAUUUUUACUUAAAAACCAGAACGACAGUUCUGAUCAAUAGAAUAUCUAACGAAUAAUGACCCAGGGCUACACCCUGAUCAAUGAACCAAGUUACCCUAGGGAUAACAGCGCAAUCCUUUCUAAGAGUCCAUAUCGCCGAAAGGGUUUACGACCUCGAUGUUGGAUCAGGACAUCCUAAUGGUGCAACCGCUAUUAAGGGUUCGUUUGUUCAACGAUUAAUAGUCC
rnacentral:rRNA from 1 species